rnacentral:lncRNA from 1 species
UUAAAGGUUGGUGGGGCCACAACGCGUUCAGGAUGACGCAAUCCCGAAGGCCGCUCAUCUCCCUCAUGCUGCUCAUUUCGUGGGAGGUUUGGAAGGAACGAAAUGCGAGGGUCUUCCGCAAUGCUGCAGUACCGGUUGGAGGUAUUGUCGCAAAGACUAAAGAGGAGUGUAGCGUGUGGUGUCUUGCUGGGGCUAAGCAUUUGCGUAAUUUAAUGCCACGAGAGUGAUGUUUUGUAAUUCGGCCUCUGGCCACAAACUCUAAACUUUCUUCCUUAUUUAAUAAAAAUGACAAAUCUUUUAUCUUGUUUCAGAAAAAUAAUGGCCAAGGACUUCCUCACCAUCCUAGGAGGUUUGGUGCGAGUGGAACGCCCGAUUCUUCAACAACAUCGCCACCUUGCUUUCCAUCAAGAAUGAUAUUGGAAAUUGGAGCAUCAUGGGCACUAAACAUUUGAGUGCUAUUUUACCAGAGAUCAAUCCCUUUGUAUUGGCCUUUGUUGUCUUAGUAUGUGAACUCCUUGAUGAGAUGAGGCAAAUGUUUCGCCUCCGUUGGAAAUGAAGUGAAACACAAUUACCUUUAUCAUAAAAAGAUUGAAUGUUAUAUAUCCUUCCGCUAAACCUUUUUUCCUAUAAACAAUAGAUGUACGACUAGAGGAACACAUUUGUAGACCCACAC